rnacentral:piRNA from 1 species
UAAAAAUGAAAGAAUGAACUGCCAGACUG